rnacentral:rRNA from 1 species
UACGGGGGGGGCAAGCGUUGUUCGGAAUUACUGGGCGUAAAGGGCUCGUAGGUGGCCAACUAAGUCAGACGUGAAAUCCCUCAGCUUAACUGGGGAACUGCGUCUGAUACUGGAUGGCUUGAGUUUGGGAGAGGGAUGCGGAAUUCCGGGUGUAGUGGUGGAAUGCGUAGAGAUCCGGAGGAACACCAGCGGCGAAGGCGGCAUCCUGGACUGGUACUGACGCUCAGGAGCGAAAGCGUGGGGAGCGAGCCGG